GAUGAACGCUGGCGGCGUGCCUAAUACAUGCAAGUCGAGCGAAUGGAUUAAGAGCUUGCUCUUAUGAAGUUAGCGGCGGACGGGUGAGUAACACGUGGGUAACCUGCCCAUAAGACUGGGAUAACUCCGGGAAACCGGGGCUAAUACCGGAUAACAUUUUGAACCGCAUGGUUCGAAAUUGAAAGGCGGCUUCGGCUGUCACUUAUGGACGGACCCGCGUCUCAUUGGUGAGUUGGUGAGGUAACGGAUCACCAAGGCAAUGAUGCGUAGCCGACCUGAGAGGGUGAUCGGCGACACUGGGACUGAGACACGGCCCAGACUCCUACGGGAGGCAGCAGUAGGGAAUCUUCCGCAAUGGACGAAAGUCUGACGGAGCAACGCCGCGUGAGUGAUGAAGGCUUUCGGGUCGUAAAACUCUGUUGUUAGGGAAGAACAAGUGCUAGUUGAAUAAGCUGGCACCUUGACGGUACCUAACCAGAAAGCCACGGCUAACUACGUGCCAGCCGCCGCCGUAA
rnacentral:rRNA from 1 species